CGCGGGUGAGUCUGCCUUGGUCAGGUUUCUUGUUUACAAAGUUGCUUUUUUCUCUGUUUCCGUGCUGUGCUCCCUGGAAGGAAGUCUCCAUGUGCAGCCCACACUGAGGGAAAUACAAGGCCACUCAUGACUGUGUGACCUGGGCAGGCUACUUAACCUCUGUGUCUCAGUUUCCUUAUCUGGGAAACAGGCUGAUAUUCCCACCACACAGGGCUGUCGCUGGCUGGCACAUGGAACGUUCAGAACGGUGUCUGGUUGUAGUAAGUGCUAUAAGCCUGGGGCAACAGCAAGACGGCAGCAGCCAUGGCGAGGCAGAAGAGUCAACGCCAGCCCAGGAAGCAUCAGGAAGUCCACAUCAGGGGAGUGAGAUGGACAGAGAUCAAGGAAGGUGGAACAUUCUAGAGGCCUGAGACCCAGUUGGCUGCCCUCACACUGGACAGACAAGGAAGUUGCCCUGUAACCCUCACCAGAAGCCUGGAGAUAAUUUUAGAGGCCUGCCUGGAGUUUGAAGAACGCUCCUGGUAUUGCGGGCUGAGCUCUCAUUGGUUCUAGCACUGAGCACAGCUGUGUGCGGGUGGCUGGUGGCUCAUUGCACGGUGGAGCCAGAUGGGGUGGGGCCUUGGGUGACCCACAGCAUCAAUGCCAGAUAGCUGCUGCGUAGGUUGUCCCAGCAUCUGUCCCCAGCCCUCUGCUCCCUUGGUGCCUUUCACUAUAGAGGCUGACAGCCAAAUACUUCCCAGACUUCACUAUAGCUAGGGGUGGCAUGUGGCUCAUUUUUGACCCAUGAUAUAUUAGCAGAUAUCUUCUGGGCAUAGCUUUUAAAAAGCCUUUCUUUCCUGACAGAAAGAGAGGGACUCAGCUGGUGCAACCCUUCCCCUUUCCUCUUUCUCCUUGCUUUGAACAUGGAUCUAAUGGCAGGAGCUAAGGCAGCCAUCUUGUGACCAUGAGGAAAGAGACUGACAGCAGUUUCAGCCGGGCAUGCCUCAGCCAUUGAACAGCACCUUAGAUUUCUCACGUGAGAAAAAUAAAUUCCUGUUUGUUUAAAUCACUGAAGUAGUUUUUUG
rnacentral:lncRNA from 10 species